CAGUCGAGCGAAUCGAUGGGAGCUUGCUCCCUGAGAUUAGCGGCGGACGGGUGAGUAACACGUGGGCAACCUGCCUAUAAGACUGGGAUAACUUCGGGAAACCGGAGCUAAUACCGGAUACGUUCUUUUCUCGCAUGAGAGAAGAUGGAAAGACGGUUUACGCUGUCACUUAUAGAUGGGCCCGCGGCGCAUUAGCUAGUUGGUGAGGUAAUGGCUCACCAAGGCGACGAUGCGUAGCCGACCUGAGAGGGUGAUCGGCCACACUGGGACUGAGACACGGCCCAGACUCCUACGGGAGGCAGCAGUAGGGAAUCUUCCGCAAUGGACGAAAGUCUGACGGAGCAACGCCGCGUGAACGAAGAAGGCCUUCGGGUCGUAAAGUUCUGUUGUUAGGGAAGAACAAGUACCAGAGUAACUGCUGGUACCUUGACGGUACCUAACCAGAAAGCCACGGCUAACUACGUGCCAGCAGCCGCGGUAAUACGUAGGUGGCAAGCGUUGUCCGGAAUUAUUGGGCGUAAAGCGCGCGCAGGUGGUUCCUUAAGUCUGAUGUGAAAGCCCACGGCUCAACCGUGGAGGGUCAUUGGAAACUGGGGAACUUGAGUGCAGAAGAGG
rnacentral:rRNA from 1 species